AGGCUCUCUGGUGUCGGAUGGAGGGUCCAGGUAUUCAUGAUCAGGAGAUGACCUUGGAGGAGCAGCGGAAAGCAAUACUCGCGCUAAAGACUGAGAAGAGAAAACUAGUUGGAUCUAAAGAAAAUUCAGUGUACAAAUGCUAAAUGUAAUGUUUGGAUCAUAUUGGGGUUUACUGAUUGGAUCAUAUGUUCAGAUCAGUACUAAACGUGGUACUGUACUUUGCAAAUGCUAGAGUGGUAUUUCCUACUUGCAAAACAAAAUUCAGUUUAGCAUGUAAUGUUUGGAUCAUAAGUUUACAAAUGUUGAUUCUGAA